CUUGAAAUAAAAGACUUUUUUUAAAAAAUACUUUUUUUCUGAUACAAUCCUCCUAAAAAAAAGGGUUGGAGAGAGCAGCCCUUAUUGGAGAAUAUCACAGGGCUGACUGCACUCCCCAACAUUC